UGCCCCAGUAACGGCGAGUGAAGCGGCAACAGCUCAGAUUUGAAAUCUGGCCCUCGCGGCCCGAGUUGUAAUCUGUAGAGGAUGCUUUUGGUUAGGUGCCUUCUGAGUCCCCUGGAACGGGGCGCCAGAGAGGGUGAGAGCCCCGUACGGUCGGACACCGAGCCUCUGUAAAGCUCCUUCGACGAGUCGAGUAGUUUGGGAAUGCUGCUCUAAAUGGGAGGUAAAUUUCUCCUAAAGCUAAAUAUAGGCCAGAGACCGAUAGCGCACAAGUAGAGUGAUCGAAAGAUGAAAAGCACUUUGAAAAGAGGGUUAAAUAGCACGUGAAAUUGCUGAAAGGGAAGCGCUUGUGACCAGACUUGCGCCCGGUGGAUCAGCUGGCGUUCUCGCCAGUGCACUCCGCCGGGUUCAGGCCAGCAUCGGUUCCGACGGGGGGACAAAGGCCUCUGGAACGUAGCUCUCUUCGGGGAGUGUUAUAGCCAGUGGUGCCAUACCCCCAGGCGGGACCGAGGAUCGCGCUCUGCAAGGAUGCUGGCGUAAUGGUCACCAGCGACCCGUCUUGAAACACGGACCAAGGAGUCAAGCAUUAGGGCGAGUCUUUGGGUGUAAAACCCGCAGGCGCAAUGAAAGUGAACGCAGGUGAGAGCUUCGGCGCAUCAUCGACCGAUCCUGAUGUUCUCGGAUGGAUUUGAGUAAGAGCCUUACCGCUUGGACCCGAAAGAUGGUGAACUAUGCCUGAAUAGGGUGAAGCCAGAGGAAACUCUGGUGGAGGCUCGCAGCGGUUCUGACGUGCAAAUCGAUCGUCAAAUUUGGGCAUGGGGGCGAAAGACUAAUCG
rnacentral:rRNA from 1 species